GCCAAAAACCUAGCCUAUAUAUUUUACGCCAUAAAACAUUUUUACUUUUUAGUAGAGGUGAUCGAAAAAUACCUAAGCGCUUAAGAAACAGUACCGCAAGGGAAAAGUGAAAUAAAAAUGAAAUAAAUCUAAAGCCCCCAAUAGCAGAGACAACUACUCGUACCUUUUGCA
rnacentral:rRNA from 1 species